UGAAAGUGUGGUGCAAUAAUACGUAGUAUUUAAAGUUUCGAUUAUGUGUACUCCUUUCAAAUUGUAUGGAUUGAAUGAGCUAAAAAAGGGGGGUGCGGAGGAAACCACACGUGUCCGGUAUUGAGACCACCAACCAAACGCACAUGCUUCCGGAAACGUGGUUUGAAUCUGGUGGUCUUGAUGAGAAGCGCGGAACCCGGGUCGCCUAUUUGAGAUACGCGUGUACCAACCACUGCGCUAACCAGACAGCCCGGAGGGUCGGUCGGUCGGCACGUCAAUCGAAUGGGAGUGACCCGAGUCUCAAGCCUCGAUGCAGCCCCCGCAAGAGCUGAUGCACAUGUGUUACUAUGAUUACGAAACAUGAGCAAAGAAAUAUAAAAACUAUAUGAACACUUGGUGCACGUGUUUAAGCAUUUAUCGUUGGAAAUAAUAACCGGUAUACCUAACAUAUGUACUGUAUCUGUAGCAAUAACAAUUUUCCGACAAGGCUUAUUGUCGUAAGUGUUUCCUGAUGAUAAAAGUGCACUAAAUAUCACUGCAUUGGUACUUACUAAUUAGGCGGCAACGUGGUUGUUGUUGUGUUAGCCGACAAAAGCGCACAAAUAAAGACAUUAUACACAUCCAUGUAUUUCGUGUUAUGUUACAAUUGUUUUGGUAAUUGUUUAUACAAAUUUAACAUGAAACUCUACGUCUACGACUUAUUAUUGACAUGAUAUUCACAGAACCCAUGUUCAAUGUUAUUACUGAAAUACGUUUAUAUAUAGUUAGCUUUUUGCCUAUAUAUAUUGUUUAACAUUUAAUACGAUUUUAACCAAUUAAUUAAUUUUCUCCCUCUUUUCAUAUGCAUGUAAUUUCUACCAAUUUGAGUUGUAUAGAUUUGAUUUGUAAAUAUUUGAUUUUUUAGUGUAUCUUUGAUUUGGAAUGAUAUGGUAUUAUUAUUGGCAGUAUGUAAGGCAGUUGUGUGGUUUAGAUUUUUAAAUGACGAAAAAUAUGCCAACAAUAACAAAAUGUUCUAAAAAUAAGCAUACAUUUCUUCAUUUAUCACCAUGAUGCUUCAUUAUUAAAAAAUAUAUGACACGAGCAAACUGCAUGCAAAGGCUGCCAUAAAUAAAUGCAGGCAGCGAUACAACAAUAUUAAAACAUAUUCAAAUGGGAAAAAUAAAACAUACUCAGAUAGGAAAAAUAAAACAUAUUCAGAUAGGAAAAAUAAAACAUAUUCAGAUAGGAAAAAUAAAACAUAUUCAGAUAGGAAAAAACGCCUGAACAUGUCAAUGUUACUGGCGCAGGUUUGGCAUUAAAAACUGUUUGAAUAAUCCGUCAAAUGCAAGGUUGUAUUUCCAUUUAUUACAAGGCAGCUCAAGAUUGCUUUAUAGUUAGCGUCUAAAGAAUACAGUAAGAUUUAAUACCUAUAUGAAACACUGGCAAGACAUUUUUGCUAGCAGAACUCUUUGUCUUGGUCGUGUAUGUUCUUCUUGCAUCUGUCUGCGCCUUUUUAUGCCUCUUUUUAUGUUCACAAUAAACACUUCGGAACGGAGGCACUUUUUCAAUUAACCCCAUUUAACAAUUAUAACAAAAUCUUAUCUUUGAAUUGUAUGCUCAACACGAUCUUUCUGCAAGUGUAAUGAUGUGAAGUGCAACCACGUUUAUUGAGUUGCACAUGCAAAGAAUUCCGUGACCUGAAAUACCCGGUAGUUAUACCCGGUAGUUAUACCCGGUAGUUAUACCCGGUAGUUAUACCCGGUAGUUAUACCCGGUAGUUAUGCCCGGUAGUUAUACCCGGUAGUUAUACCCGGUAGUUAUACCCGGUAGUUAUACCCGGU